rnacentral:rRNA from 1 species
AAGUCGAGCGAGAAACUUUUUUUCGGAAAAGUGGACAGCGGCGAAAGGGAGAGUAACGAGUAGAAACGUACCCCGAGGCUCGGAAUAGCAGAGAGAAAUUUCUGGUAAUGCCGAAUAACGUCUUCGGACCAAAGGUUUACCACCUGGGGAGCGGUCUGCUUUCUAUUAGCUUGUUGGUGAGGUAAUGGCUCACCAAGGCGAAGAUGGAUACCGGGCGUGAGAGCGUGACCCGGCUCACUGGGACUGAGACACUGCCCAGACACCUACGGGUGGCUGCAGUCGAGAAUCUUCCGCAAUGGACGAAAGUCUGACGGAGCGACGCCGCGUGCUGGAUGAAGGCCUUCGGGUUGUAAACAGCUGUCAUAGGGGAGGAAAUUUUGACCGAUCCUAAGAGGAAGCACAGGCUAAGUUCGUGCCAGCAGCCGCGGUAACACGAACUGUGCGAACGUUAUUCGGAAUCACUGGGCUUAAAGGGUGCGUAGGCGGUCUUGUAGGUCAGAUGUGAAAUCCCACGGCUCAACCGUGGAAUUGCGUUUGAAACCACAAGACUUGAGUAAGAUAGAGGUAAGCGGAACUGAUGGUGGAGCGGUGAAAUGCGUUGAUAUCAUCAGGAACACCGGUGGCGAAAGCGGCUUACUGGGUCUUUACUGACGCUGAGGCACGAAAGCUAGGGGAGCGAACGGGAUUAGAUACCCCGGUAGUCCUAGCUGUAA